rnacentral:tRNA from 2 species
GGUGGAGUUCCCGAGUGGCCAAAGGGGGCAGACUGUAAAUCUGUUGCGUUUCGCUUCGAUGGUUCGAAUCCAUCCUCCACCA